rnacentral:rRNA from 1 species
ACAAUGAAGAGUUUGAUCCUGGCUCAGGAUGAACGCUAGCUACAGGCUUAACACAUGCAAGUCGAGGGGCAUCAGGAAGAAAGCUUGCUUUCUUUGCUGGCGACCGGCGCACGGGUGAGUAACACGUAUCCAACCUGCCCUUUACUCGGGGAUAGCCUUUCGAAAGAAAGAUUAAUACCCGAUAGCAUAAUGAUUCCGCAUGGUUUCAUUAUUAAAGGAUUCCGGUAAAGGAUGGGGAUGCGUUCCAUUAGGUUGUUGGUGAGGUAACGGCCCACCAAGCCUUCGAUGGAUAGGGGUUCUGAGAGGAAGGUCCCCCACAUUGGAACUGAGACACGGUCCAAACUCCUACGGGAGGCAGCAGUGAGGAAUAUUGGUCAAUGGGCGCUAGCCUGAACCAGCCAAGUAGCGUGAAGGAUGAAGGCUCUAUGGGUCGUAAACUUCUUUUAUAUAAGAAUAAAGUGCAGUAUGUAUACUGUUUUGUAUGUAUUAUAUGAAUAAGGAUCGGCUAACUCCGUGCCAGCAGCCGCGGUAAUACGGAGGAUCCGAGCGUUAUCCGGAUUUAUUGGGUUUAAAGGGAGCGUAGGUGGACUGGUAAGUCAGUUGUGAAAGUUUGCGGCUCAACCGUAAAAUUGCAGUUGAUACUGUCAGUCUUGAGUACAGUAGAGGUGGGCGGAAUUCGUGGUGUAGCGGUGAAAUGCUUAGAUAUCACGAAGAACUCCGAUUGCGAAGGCAGCUCACUGGACUGCAACUGACACUGAUGCUCGAAAGUGUGGGUAUCAAACAGGAUUAGAUACCCUGGUAGUCCACACAGUAAACGAUGAAUACUCGCUGUUUGCGAUAUACAGUAAGCGGCCAAGCGAAAGCAUUAAGUAUUCCACCUGGGGAGUACGCCGGCAACGGUGAAACUCAAAGGAAUUGACGGGGGCCCGCACAAGCGGAGGAACAUGUGGUUUAAUUCGAUGAUACGCGAGGAACCUUACCCGGGCUUAAAUUGCAGUGGAAUGAUGUGGAAACAUGUCAGUGAGCAAUCACCGCUGUGAAGGUGCUGCAUGGUUGUCGUCAGCUCGUGCCGUGAGGUGUCGGCUUAAGUGCCAUAACGAGCGCAACCCUUAUCUUUAGUUACUAACAGGUCAUGCUGAGGACUCUAGAGAGACUGCCGUCGUAAGAUGUGAGGAAGGUGGGGAUGACGUCAAAUCAGCACGGCCCUUACGUCCGGGGCUACACACGUGUUACAAUGGGGGGUACAGAAGGCAGCUAGCGGGUGACCGUAUGCUAAUCCCAAAAUCCUCUCUCAGUUCGGAUCGAAGUCUGCAACCCGACUUCGUGAAGCUGGAUUCGCUAGUAAUCGCGCAUCAGCCACGGCGCGGUGAAUACGUUCCCGGGCCUUGUACACACCGCCCGUCAAGCCAUGGGAGCCGGGGGUACCUGAAGUACGUAACCGCAAGGAUCGUCCUAGGGUAAAACUGGUGACUGGGGCUAAGUCGUAACAAGGUAGCCGUACCGGAAGGUGCGGCUGGAACACCUCCUUU